UUUAUCUGUUCCUAUAUUAAAGUCUUCCUUCAAGCCUUCCACCACAGUCUAGCUGUUCCCUUCCAAGCCAACAUUGCUACUGUAACCUUGGGAACGGUGAUUUGUUCUCACAUCUGGCUUCUUAUUACAUCACCUUUACUAUCUAUCUCUCAUUUUUGCUAUUUCUUAUGCUGAAUUUAUUUUCUUCAACUCACUGGACUCCGGUGGAUUCUAAUUGUUUUCAGUAGAUUACAUUGAAAAUUGCACAGCUUGGGAUAAGGCAGGAGAGAUGUCUCAGUGACUAAGAAUGCUGACUGCUCUUGUAGAAGAUCUGGGUUCAGUUCCCAGCAUCUGCAUGGUGGCUCACAACCCUCUGUAACUCCAGUACCAAGGGAUCCAAUACUCUCUUUGGCCUCUGCAUGCACCAAACAUGCGCAUGGUACACAAACGUACACGCAGGCAGAACAUUUGUACACAUAAGACAAAAAUAAAUGUUUUUAAAAUGCCCUUUCUUUUCGUUGCCACCCUUUGCUGCUGGGCUCUCCAGCACACCGAAGGCAGAGGGCAGAGUCAAUGUGAAAGGGCAGUGCUGGAUUGUAUCAUGAUAGAUACUGUUCUCAUGUCCAUCUAAGGAAAUGCUCUGUGUUCUUUGGUUGCUCCCCUCAGACCCUGGGUUAGCAUCCGUGGGCCCUCGUGCUUGCGUGCACCAUCUUAUGCUGCUAUUAUCAGCGCUCAGCACUGCGGUCCACAGUCUCCCUUUGCUGUUAUUCGGUCCUCAGUCUCUCUCUGAGGUCAACCAGAGCGCUCAGCACUGCGGUCCACAGUCUCCCUCCGAGGUCACUCAGAACAACUUGCAUUGUCUCAUGCACACAGCCUGGCCCUGCAUUCUUCAUGUGUUCAGUUUUGUUUCCUUCUGGUCCACGCAUACCUCUCACCAGUGCAUUGUGGGAAAGCUCCCAGGAUGCUCAGGAUCUGACUAUUGUUUUCCUCUUCUCACUUGAGAUGUUGUGUUGCACUGUGUGUUGUCUGGACUGUGUAUUUGUGAGCACACUGGCACCUGCCUCACCACAGUGCCUUUAUAGUCUUUCUCUUCCAGACUGCUUUUACAAUGUGUACUUUAAUGAUAGUAUUGUUAAAAGGCAGUGUUGGAUGAUUGACACAAAAUAAACUGCACAGGGCGGCACAGGGUGCGUGUG
rnacentral:lncRNA from 1 species